rnacentral:lncRNA from 1 species
ACAAGUGGAUUGCCCCUCCCCUCCCCCCCUCCCCUCCCUCCCAGCCCUCUCCCCCCUCCCCUCCCCUCCUCUUCCCUCCCUCCCAGCCCUCUCCCCCCUCCCCUCCCCUCUCCUCCCCUCCCUCCCAGCCCUCUCCCCCCUCCUCUUUCCCAGUCAUCCCCAGUCAGCUCCCAGAGCAGCUGUCAAGAGCUUGUACUUUGGAGGAGGCUGACUCCAUGGGAGGCUCAGGUUGGAGAGGGCCAGGGUGCCGUGAGAGAGGACACCUGGGGAUGUGCCUUGGGCUUUGGAGGUGGUGCCUUUGCAGGGACCGGGGCAGGAUGGGGCAGGACGAGCCCUAAGGUCGCAGGGGCACAGGGCCGCAGAGCACCUGGCGCCCCCGAGUCCCACAGGCCAGGCUCGGGCACUGGCUGCGGGCGGCACCCGCAGGCAAAGGGCGGUGGUGAAACGACUGUAUUUCAGGGAGGUCGGCGCGGGACGAGGGGACUAGUGUCAAGAGUGGCCCCCGAGUGGGGAGAAGGCAGCCGGGUGGGAGGAGGGCCAGUGGGUCGCGCAGUGGGCAGUGAGGUCAAGGCCGCUGGCCCGGGGUCAGCGGUGCGGGCGGCCGGCUCGGGCAGUCCUCACUGGGGCGCGGCCUCGGCCCCCACGGGGGAUGCUUGGCCCGCGGGGCCUUCUCAGCUCGGAGAGGCCGGGCUGGACCAGCAGCAGGGCGGCCGUCAGAGCCGGGGCCCCAGCAUCCGGACCCGGCCUCCUGCCCCCGCAGGGCUCGGCUCCCGGGAGGCCCGACCCGGGUACCCGCGUCCGCCCUCGGAGGCAGCAGCGCCCCCGCGGGCUCCCCGCCCCGCCCCGCCCCGCGCCGCGCCGCGCCACCGCCCGGCCGUGACGUCAGGUGGCGAGACCGUGACGUCACAGAAGCGCGGCGGGGCGGCCGGCCACGCGUCGCCAUGGCAACGGCGGGCGGGCCCGGGCGGGCGGCGGGAGCCCCGCCCCCGGGAGGGCGGACGCGGCCCGGCUCGGUCCCCGCACUCGCGGGUCCCACCCCCCUCCGCCCCCCGCCCCCCGCCCUCCCCCGCGCGGGUCGCGCGCCUCCGGACACCCCCCGCGGGCCGCGGCCCGGCCGUCCCGGAGCGGCCGCAAAGCGCGGCGACCGUCGUGCGGCGGCGUCCGCGGCCGCCAAGCCCCGCCCCGCGCCGAGGCGCCGUGCGCCCCGGGCCGACCGCGGCUGCGCAGUGGGCGCGCGCCCUCCCCCGACGCCGGGGCGUAAGCGCGGGCCGCGAGCGACGCUGCGAGACCGGGGCGAGCCGGGCGCCCGCGCGGCGGGGACGGCCCGCGCCAACAUGCGGAGGCCGGCGGCGGCGGCGGCGCGGGAGCGGCAGCGGGAGCGGGGGCCCGAGCGGGCGCUGGAGCCGGAGCCGCGGCGCGAGCGGGGCCCGGAGCGGGGGCCCGCGCCGCGCUGCUGAGGGAGCCCGGGCCGCGCUGCCCGGCCGGCCGCGGAGCCACGGCCACGGCCACGGCGGAGGCCCCGAGGUAAGGACGCGCGCCGCCCCCGCCGCCGCCCCCGCCCCGGCCACGCGCCCCGCCCCGGCCACGCGCCCGCCGCGCCGCGCCCCCCCGGCCCCGGACCCCGACGCCCACGUCCCGGGCGCCGCCGCCUCAGCCUCGUCCUCCGCCCCGGGUCCCCUCCCGCAGCCUCGGGCCCGCGGCUCCCAGCCCCGCCGACGCCCCCGCCCCCGCCCCCGGCCCGAGGCCCCCGCGAGCUGCCCGCGCCGCUCGUCCCGCGCCUGCCGCCCGCGCUCAGCCCAGGGCCCCCCCGCGUGCCCGGACCCUGCCCCAGCCUGCCGUGCCGGGCUCCGGGCGCUCGGGGCCGGCGGGAGGCCCGGCGGGGUGACCUGUUGCAGGCCCUGCGCGGAGCGGCGGCCUCGGUGCGCCUGUGCCCGCCCCCUUCCGCCCGCGCCACCGGUUUUGUUUUCCGGAAACACUUUGGAUCGGGGAGGGGGUGCGAUGUCUGGGCGCCCCGGGCGGCGGCCACGCUGA